GGCCGGGGAGACCGGCGAAGGGGUGAGUAACACGUGAGGAACCUGCCCUGUAGAUCAAAAUAACCAUGGAAAGUGUGGUUAAUGCCUAAUAAUCUCGGAUGACCACAUGGACGUCUGAGGAAAAGGGCUGCUGCUACAGGAGGGCCUCCCGCCUUAUCGUCUUUUUGGGGGGGGAACGCCCCCCCCAGGCAACCACGGGUGGGGGGGGGGAGAGCCCCACCAGCCCCGCGGGGACUGAAACCCGGCCCAAACUCCUACGGAAGGUAGCAUGGGGAAAUCCUGGGGAAGGGGCAAAAGCCCGACGCCCCGACCCCCGGGGGGGAAAGAAGGCCUUCUGGUUGUUAACUUUUUUCAGGAGGGAAGAAGUGAAAGUGACGGCACCUCCAAAAAAGCCCCCCCCAACUACGUGCCAGCAGCCUGUUAAUACGUAGGGGGCAAGCUUUGUCCGUAUUUAUUGUGCAUAAAGAGCUCGUAGGCUGUUUUUUUGUCGGGUGAGAAAUCUCGGGGCUCAACCCCAAAACUGCACCCUAUACUGGAUGAUUUGAGGCAGGUAGGGGAAGGUGGAAUUCCUGGUGUAGCGGUGAAAUGCGCAGAUAUCAGGAGGAACACCCGUGGCGAAGGCGGCCUUCUGGGCCUGUUCUGACGCUGAGGAGCGAAAGCGUGGGGAGCAAACAGGAUUAGAUACCCUGGU
rnacentral:rRNA from 1 species